rnacentral:rRNA from 1 species
GACGAACGCUGGCGGCGUGCUUAACACAUGCAAGUCGAACGGUGAACCACUUCGGUGGGGAUCAGUGGCGAACGGGUGAGUAACACGUGGGCAACCUGCCCCUAGCUCUGGGAUAACCUCGGGAAACCGAGGCUAAUACCGGAUAUGACUCCGAGCGGCAUCACUCGGAGUGGAAAGUUUUUCGGCUAGGGAUGGGCCCGCGGCCUAUCAGCUUGUUGGUGGGGUAACGGCCUACCAAGGCGA